AACGUAGGACGCAAGCGUUAUCCGGAGUUACUGGGCGUAAAGCGCGGGCAGGCGGCCUCGCAAGUCUGAUGUGAAAGCACUCUGCUCAACAGAGUGAUGCCAUUGGAAACUACAAGGCUGGAGUCUGGCAGAGGUAGGCGGAAUUCCGGGUGGAGUGGUGAAAUGCGUAGAGAUCCGGAAGAACACCGGAGGCGAAGGCGGCUUGCUGGGCGUGAUCUGACGCUGAGGCGCGAAAGCGUGGGGAGCGAACAGG
rnacentral:rRNA from 1 species